GAGUUUGAUCGUGGCUCAGGAUGAACGCUAGCGGCAGGCUUAAUACAUGCAAGUCGUGGGGCAGCAGGUGUAGCAAUACAUGCUGGCGACCGGCAAACGGGUGCGGAACACGUACGCAACCUUCCUUUAACUGGAGAAUAGCCCCUCGAAAGAGGGAUUAAUACUCCGUAACAUAUUGAUAAGGCAUCUUAUUAAUAUUAUAGCUCCGGCGGUUAAAGAUGGGCGUGCGCCUGAUUAGGUAGUUGGCGGGGUAACGGCCCACCAAGCCUUCGAUCAGUAACUGGUGUGAGAGCACGACCAGUCACACGGGCACUGAGACACGGGCCCGACUCCUACGGGAGGCAGCAGUAAGGAAUAUUGGUCAAUGGACGCAAGGUCUGAACCAGCCAUGCGCGUGGAGGAUUAAGGCCCUCUGGGUUGUAAACUCCUUUUAUCUGGGAAGAAAUGCUUUGAUUCUUCAAAGCUUGACGGUA
rnacentral:rRNA from 1 species